CGCAACUGCAAACCAUGAUUUCAUCGUCUGCUUUUCUUGUGUGUAGUUUUAUUGAUUAAUAUUAAUUUCAUUGAUUUAUACUUAUAUUAUAAAAAAGUAAGAAAAAUAUUUUUGGAAAAAAUCAUACAUAUAAACUGAAUUAUCGCACAUAAAAUAUGAGGUUAUAAUUUUUAAGCAAUUAUUAAAUAUAUAGUUAAAACGUGUCAAGAUUGUAAAAAUCAUAAACAUGUUUUCAGGUUAUGUUAAUUGAGUGAUGCUGUGUAGGAAACGAAACGAUGAAAUCAUGGUUUCGAGUUACGUUGGUAGUCCUGACUUCAGGCCCCAAACAAGGCAUUUUUAAAACCAAGCCUGGGCAAAUAAAUCGCCUAACUUCGUAAAUCCCCUCAAUCAAGUACUGAAACAAUAGUUUUACAAGCAUUAUAUUACAAGAGAUUCACUAACGAGCCACAGAGGUGACGGAGGAACGAGUUCGCUGUCGCAAAGUUUAAACAGCUUAGAGGGAUGUUGUGGCGCUCCAACGCUUGGGGUGCUUAGUCAGCUGGAAACCUCUAAUAGUCUUGAAGUUUACGCACAAAGACCACAAAGGAGUCUCUAUUCGUGAAUGAUACAAUAAUCGUACCCUGGAGGUGAGAUUGGGUAAAGCAUCAUUUUCAGAGUUUCAGGUCAAAUAUGGCAAAUAAUGCGAUCAACUUACGGAUCUCUAUUUUAAUUUGCAAUAUGUUUAUACAUCCUGCGUAUAUAUAUAAUUACAAUUAUAAAAUGAAAUAAAAAUCCAACAUCAGGAGGAAAUAAUUAAAUAUUUUUCUCACCUUCAAUGUCCGAAAGUAGUUGAGGACUUUCCUGCAAAUUUUCAUUAUUAUUAGUCUCUGCGAGCAAUGAUUGCUGAUGAAUGAGAGAAGUUGGUUGUUUGGGCUUAACGACACGAAAUGCUGAAGCCUCAGCGACUCCUCGUCGAGAAAAAUCAAGUGGACCCACCCCAACCGGAUCAGGAAAUAGAGUUGACCAACAAGGGAGAAGACGUUAUAGUGGGUGCCUCGACGGCGACUGCUGUUAACAGAUCUGAUAGUAGAGGGAUUCAAGCGAUGACGGACGAAAGUUGGAGAGAGAGAGAGAGGAAACCGGG